CCUACGGGUGGCUGCAGUGGGGAAUAUUGGACAAUGGGCGCAAGCCUGACCCAGCAACGCCGCGUGAAGGAAGAAGGCUUUCGGGUUGUAAACUUCUUUUCUGAGGGACGAAAAAAGUGACGGUACCUCAGGAAUAAGCCACGGCUAACUACGUGCCAGCAGCCGCGAUAAUACGUAGGUGGCAAGCGUUAUCCGGAUUUAUUGGGUGUAAAGGGCGUGUAGGCGGGAACGCAAGUCAGAUGUGAAAACUCAGGGCUCAACCCUGAGCCUGCAUUUGAAACUGUGCUUCUUGAGUGCUGGAGAGGCAAGCGGAAUUCCGGGUGUAGCGGUGAAAUGCGUAGAUAUAAGGAGGAACACCAGUGGCGAAGGCGGAUUGCUGGACAGUAACUGACGCUGAGGCGCGAAAGCGUGGGGAGCAAACAGGAUUAGAUACCCGAGUAGUC
rnacentral:rRNA from 1 species